rnacentral:lncRNA from 1 species
CACAGUUUUCCUGAAAACCAGAGGACAGAAUUACUUGUUCUAUUUUGUUUUAUCCAUGGGUUGCACUUCCAGCCAAGCAAUUAUCAAGAAACCAGAAUCCAAAAAUCAGCAUCAUGAUAGAGAAAUGCCAAACCAGGCUAGAAGAGAGAAAAUAUUUCUUGGUACAGGUAGCCUGGUCUCACAAGGUGGGUCAGCAGCUGCAGAUGAUUCCUGUGGAAGAGGCUUGCCAGAAGAUGGGAUGAAGGGAUCCCAGUCCAUUAAAGAACAAAGCAAAAGUCAACAUAUGGGUGCCAUUAAAUCACUUAGAAAGCUAGAAACAGAAAGACAGACAUCAUCAGACAUUUUGGAAGAACUUCGGAUGCAAGGAAUAAUCAAGACUUCAUGCCCAACUACUAAAAACAGAACUGCAGAAGAUGUCAUGCUGGUACCUGAAGAAAGGACACCACAAAAACCACCAGCCAAACUGGAAAAGCUUGAACUUAAACAGAAGAAAUUGCAUGCUUUAUCAACAGAAGACUCUGAAAAUAAGACAAGAGAAGAGCAACUGAAAAAAGAAUUGCUGACUGAUAGAUUGUCACCAAUAAUUCCUCCUGAAAGGGGAGUACAGAUAGGCAGUUCUAUAAUUACAACAAUUCCCAAUAGUUUUCAAUUGCCACCUUUAAGUGUGGGGACAGAAACGUGGACAGAGAAGGAAGAACUAGAUGACAAUAUAAACAAUGACUUUGAAGAUUUUACAAUGGUGGAGUCAGACAUCACUUACAACACAAUUGACGGAGUAUUCUAAUCACCAACAUUUGUAUCAAACAUUUUCACCUCUAACUAAUUUAAUACUAUUGCUA